UACGAAGGGAGCUAGCGUUGUUCGGAAUCACUGGGCGUAAAGCGCACGUAGGCGGAUGUGUCAGUCAGGGGUGAAAUCCCGGAGCUCAACUUCGGAACUGCCCUUGAUACAGCACGUCUUGAGUCCGGAAGAGGUGGGUGGAAUUCCUAGUGUAGAGGUGAAAUUCGUAGAUAUUAGGAAGAACACCGGUGGCGGAGGCGGCCCACUGGUCCGGUACUGACGCUGAGGUGCGAAAGCGUGGGGAGCAAACAGG
rnacentral:rRNA from 1 species